rnacentral:rRNA from 1 species
CCUACGGGUGGCAGCAGUGGGGAAUAUUGGACAAUGGGCGAAAGCCUGAUCCAGCCAUGCCGCGUGUGUGAAGAAGGCCUUCGGGUUGUAAAGCACUUUCAGUGGGGAAGAAAGCCUUGGGGCUAAUACCCUCGAGGAAGGACAUCACCCACAGAAGAAGCACCGGCUAACUCCGUGCCAGCAGCCGCGGUAAUACGGAGGGUGCGAGCGUUAAUCGGAAUUACUGGGCGUAAAGCGCGCGUAGGCGGUCUGAUAAGCCGGUUGUGAAAGCCCCGGGCUCAACCUGGGAACGGCAUCCGGAACUGUCAGGCUAGAGUGCAGGAGAGGAAGGUAGAAUUCCCGGUGUAGCGGUGAAAUGCGUAGAGAUCGGGAGGAAUACCAGUGGCGAAGGCGGCCUUCUGGACUGACACUGACGCUGAGGUGCGAAAGCGUGGGUAGCAAACAGGAUUAGAUACCCCAGUAGGC